rnacentral:rRNA from 1 species
UCCCUGGUGGCGAGCGGCGGACGGGUGAGUAAUGCAUAGGAAUCUGCCCGGUAGUGGGGGAUAACGUGGGGAAACCCACGCUAAUACCGCAUACGUCCUACGGGAGAAAGCGGGGGAUCUUCGGACUUCGCGCUAUCGGAUGAGCCUAUGUCGGAUUAGCUAGUUGGUAAGGUAACGGCUUACCAAGGCGACGAUCCGUAGCUGGUCUGAGAGGAUGAUCAGCCACACUGGGACUGAGACACGGCCCAGACUCCUACGGGAGGCAGCAGUGGGGAAUAUUGGACAAUGGGCGAAAGCCUGAUCCAGCCAUGCCGCGUGUGUGAAGAAGGCUUUCGGGUUGUAAAGCACUUUCAGCGAGGAAGAAAGCCUCUGGGUUAAUACCCCAGAGGAAAGACAUCACUCGCAGAAGAAGCACCGGCUAACUCCGUGCCAGCAGCCGCGGUAAUACGGAGGGUGCGAGCGUUAAUCGGAAUUACUGGGCGUAAAGCGCGCGUAGGUGGCUUGGCACGCCGGUUGUGAAAGCCCCGGGCUCAACCUGGGAACGGCAUCCGGAACGGCCAGGCUAGAGUGCAGGAGAGGAAGGUAGAAUUCCCGGUGUA